rnacentral:rRNA from 2 species
GAGCGGACAGAUGGGAGCUUGCUCCCUGAUGUUAGCGGCGGACGGGUGAGUAACACGUGGGUAACCUGCCUGUAAGACUGGGAUAACUCCGGGAAACCGGGGCUAAUACCGGAUGCUUGAUUGAACCGCAUGGUUCAAUUAUAAAAGGUGGCUUUUAGCUACCACUUACAGAUGGACCCGCGGCGCAUUAGCUAGUUGGUGAGGUAACGGCUCACCAAGGCAACGAUGCGUAGCCAACCUGAGAGGGUGAUCGGCCACACUGGGACUGAAACACGGCCCAAACUCCUACGGGAGGCAGCAGUAGGGAAUCUUCCGCAAUGGACGAAAGUCUGACGGAGCAACGCCGCGUGAGUGAUGAAGGUUUUCGGAUCGUAAAACUCUGUUGUUAGGGAAGAACAAGUACCGUUCGAAUAGGGCGGUACCUUGACGGUACCUAACCAGAAAGCCACGGCUAACUACGUGCCAGCAGCCGCGGUAAUACGUAGGUGGCAAGCGUUGUCCGGAAUUAUUGGGCGUAAAGCGCGCGCAGGCGGUUUCUUAAGUCUGAUGUGAAAGCCCCCGGCUCAACCGGGGAGGGUCAUUGGAAACUGGGGAACUUGAGUGCAGAAGAGGAGAGUGGAAUUCCACGUGUAGCGGUGAAAUGCGUAGAGAUGUGGAGGAACACCAGUGGCGAAGGCGACUCUCUGGUCUGUAACUGACGCUAAGGCGCAAAGCGUGGGGAGCGAACAGGAUUAGAUACCCUGGUAGUCCACGCCGUAAACGAUGAGUGCUAAUUGUUAAAGGGUUUCCCCCCUUUGUGCUGCAGCAAACGCAUUAGCACUCCCCCGGGGAGUACGGUCGCAAGACUAAACUCAAAGAAUUGACGGGGGCCCCCCAAACGGUGGAACAUGUGGUUUAAUUCAAACCACCCAAAAAACUUACCAGGUCUUGACAUCCUCUGACACCCUAAAAAUAGGCUUCCCUUCGGGGGCGAAUGACAGUGGUGCAUGUUUCCUCACCCCGGCCGGAAAUGUUGGGUAAGUCCCCCACCAGCCCAACCUUGAUCUAAUUGCAACAUUCAUUGGGCAUCUAAGGGACUGCCGUGACAACCGAAGAAGGGGGGAUGACUCCAAUCAUCAGGCCCUUAAACU